rnacentral:rRNA from 1 species
GGAAUCUUGCGCAAUGGGCGAAAGCCUGACGCAGCAACGCCGCGUGCGGGAUGAAGGCCUUCGGGCUGUAAACCGCUUUCAGCAGGAACGAAAAUGACGGUACCUGCAGAAGAAGGGGCGGCCAACUACGUGCCAGCAGCCGCGGUGACACGUAGGCUCCAAGCGUUGUCCGGAUUUAUUGGGCGUAAAGAGCUCGUAGGCGGUUUAGUAAGUCGGGUGUUAAAACUCUGGGCUCAACCCGGAGAGGCCAUCCGAUACUGCUGUGACUUGAGUUCAGGAGGGGAGCGGGGAAUUCCUAGUGUAGCGGUGAAAUGCGCAGAUAUUAGGAGGAACACCGGUGGCGAAGGCGCCGCUCUGGACUGAAACUGACGCUGAGGAGCGAAAGCAUGGGUAGCAAACAGGAUUAGAUACCCUGGUAGUCCAUGCCGUAAACGGUGGGCACUAGGUGUGGGUUCCAACUAACGGGAUCCGCGCCGUCGCUAACGCAUUAAGUGCCCCGCCUGGGGAGUACGGUCGCAAGACUAAAACUCAAAUGAAUUGACGG